UUUGAGAUGCGACUACCGUGAAAAAGAUCAGCCUAAAAUUGAACACUUUUCGGCCUAUAUUGCCGCUCACAUGCUCGGCUGGGCACUUUUCUAUGUAUCAAUAUCAAUAACGUCAUCAGUGUAUUGGAAACCAUCCACAAGGCUGCUAUUACGGUUUUCUGAUCAUGGUCAUGUUUCAAAUUGCAUACUAAAAUGUGCACGAUAAAAAGGCGCACUCUAAAAGCAUACCGUAACAUUAUGCGAACAAAAGUCAGAGUUCAAAGAGAUCUAUUUAUGCACUUUGGGUCGGAUCAGAUCAGUAGUCAGUGGUCAGAAUCACAUCACGUACGGGGGUCUUAAACGCGCUUAGUGUUCUGUCUGGCAUGACGGGUAAAUGGCAGGCGGUUCCAAGCAGCUGCGACCCGAUGCGAAAACGCCCUUUGUGCGACGGCUUUCCCAACGGACAUGCAUCACCCCUAUGCCGGCCCGUGACGUCACUGGUGUAAACAAUAUUUAAGGAUCAGUGGAGGCAGAGCCCGUCACAUUGCCGCAGCGGCCACCGUCUGGCAGUUCGAACAUGAAUACCGCUGUGGUGCCCCUGGUGGUUUUGGUGGCCUUCCUGGCCACAUCGGCGCUUGCUGCAUGGCCGCCAUCUGACCCGACCAAUCCUGCCGAGUGCGUCGCCGCGGGAGGCGAGUGCGCUGCCAGCAACGACUGCCCCGACUGGCAGCAGCCAUUCAAGGGCAUCUGCGGCGCAGGCCGCGAGUGCUGCUUCAAAGACUUAAGUAACCACAGGCUACGGUGUGAUUUGUUCGGCGGCGAAUGUACUUUGGCGGGUAAGUGCGGCAACGGACCUCAGCACAAGAACGCCUACUGCCCGAAGAAGAGCCAGGUCUGCUGUGUCUGGGUUUUCUGAAGAGACUAGAGCGACACACAGCGUGGCCUGCGCGGGAUCUGGAGAGCAGCUGGCGAUGAUCUGGGGUAUUUUGGAGAAGAUCUGAAAUCUGGAGUUGUGCCGGACGAAAUCUGAAGAGAAUUUGAUGGUGAUCUUAACUCUGGUAGUUGUCUGCAAGUGGACUGGAAAUUAUUUGGGGGUGAUCGUAUUAGCUGCGAACUUCUAGUGCCAGCUGAAGCUUGGUCCUGAAAUUAUAUUCAAAUCGUGCAGAUAUGAUCGUGGCUUGAGAUAAAGGCAUCCUGGAGAUGUUUCAAAUAUGAUCUGAGCCAUUUUAUUUAGCGAAAAUCCCCUGUGAAAAAACUAUACCUUAAGCCGAUGUUGCUAUACAUCCAGCGUGACGAUCGCUGUAAUGUUGUGUUGUUAUGUUUUGGUCUGGCCUGGCCUCCCGUCGCAUGGGGGCGCAGUUGUCUGUUGUGUGCACUUUCUAAAGGGCAUUGCUGUAGUGAAGAAAGUAGACCACUCUUGGUUUUUAGUCUGCUGUUAUGAUCUGUGACAAUCUUCAUCGGUGCCGAACGCGAACGAAGCUGUGCUUGCAGGCACCGGAGUGGUUCCUGUGGACUUUUUGAUACAUUUGCACGAACGCAAAAUAUA